GACUCUUAGAGUUGGAUCACUCUGUGUCGAUGAAGAAUGCAGCUAACUGCGUGAAUUAAUGUGAAUUGCAGGACAUUGAUCAUCAACCCUUCAAAUACACUUGCAGCCCCGGGAUCCUGCCACGGCUACAUAUGUCUGAGAAUCG
ensembl:rRNA 5_8S_rRNA 5.8S ribosomal RNA